rnacentral:tRNA from 1 species
GGUGGCUCAGUGGUAGAGUGCUUGCCUUGAAUGCCUGAGGCUGGGGUUCGAUUCCUCAGCACCA